CUUUCCUGCAUGCAAAGGCAGCUCUUGCUGCAGCAAACAGCAGCAUUUGGGGCUUUAGUUUAACCUCAAAAUACACAUGAACCAAACACCUGUGAAACCUGGAACAGAAGUUGCAACUGCUCCCGGUUAUAUGGUGUCUGCCUGGCAUUUAACUGCAGGCAUUUAUUGGUCACAUUUAGCUGGCUAUGGGGAGACUACCACAAGCUUUAAUCCUGCUGAUGCAAGCCAAAAACCAAGCAAGCCUACAAGAGGACACAGGAAGCACUGGAAAAAAAUAGCACAGGGAGCGCAGAGAGGCUCAUACAACGUCUGUUUUCAUGUCCAUGAGGGAAAAGAUGGGCUGAGGAAAAUGAAUUCUUCUGUUUGGAAGAAAAUAAAUUCAAAAUGCUAUAUUUGUAUUUUCAC
rnacentral:lncRNA from 1 species